CUUGAUUGCGAUAUCGGAAGUUGAGGAACUUCAGCUGCUGCUAAAGCCUCCUGUGGCAAUUGAUCACCAAAAAGACCGAUGUCUGCUAGCCAUUCAAGCUCUCCAAGCUCAGAGUGCUCUUUCUGCAACCAGAGAAUCGGACAUGGUAUGAUUGUUAGGUACGGAUGUAUAUCUAACUUGAGUACAUCUUUGAAUCACUCAUUUAUGUUUCUCACCUUGUUUAGAGAUUGAAUAUCUGAAAGUUCUAACAGAUCAUCAACAGCCCAUGGAGAUGAAAAGCUCGAGUGUUGUUGAUGUGCAGGCAUUUUCAUUGAAGUCUGAGGUGCACUCUUGUUGGGUGGCUCCAACACAUUGUUUUCAGUGUUUUUAUUGCAACUCGAACUUAAGGCAACUCGGAUUCCGGUGGCGAGGAACCUUUGAUGGUUUGCAGCAAGGCUGCCGGCUGGAUGGAUCGGUUCGUCGCAAUCCCGGCAGAAAAGAGCUCUGUCUUCAACACAAAAGAUGAAAGCUGCUUUUUCCUGUACAUCAUAUAC
rnacentral:lncRNA from 1 species